rfam:Lachancea thermotolerans CBS 6340 chromosome D complete sequence.
UUAAAAUGACGAAGCAUAGCACUGGGCACUGACAAUGUUACAAGUAACCGUCAUGAGUGACACUGCUUUAAGUGGGCUUAGAAACCCCACGCUACUGAUUUG